rnacentral:hammerhead_ribozyme from 1 species
UUACUGAUGACGAGUCCCAAACUAGGACGAAACAGUUGUCCAGUAC